AUUCUGUUGUUGAAGAAAUUCAGUGAAAGGAGACCAUGUUUUGGAGAAUUGGUCUAAUUUAUCAGCCAGAACAAGCCUAAUUUUUUCUAAAUGUAAUGUCUCGGUCAUUUCUGUGAUCCAUAUCUUCACUGUAGGGACUGUUAUCUUUUUCCAGAAUUCGAGUAUAAGUUUUUUCACAGUUAUUAAGCCGUAGUCAAGGAAACGUCUUUGGAAUGUCGUUAACUUAGAACAGCCCUCUGACAUUCCUAAAAUUAUUCGUUUUGCAUCUGACUCCAAUUGAAUGUUUUAGAGAUGAUAUCGAAUAUU